rnacentral:rRNA from 1 species
CGGGACACGUGGUAUCCUGUCUGAAUAUGGGGGGACCAUCCUCCAAGGCUAAAUACUCCUGACUGACCGAUAGUGAACCAGUACCGUGAGGGAAAGGCGAAAAGAACCCCGGCGAGGGGAGUGAAAAAGAACCUGAAACCGUGUACGUACAAGCAGUGGGAGCACGCUUCGGCGUGUGACUGCGUACCUUUUGUAUAAUGGGUCAGCGACUUAUAUUCUGUAGCAAGGUUAACCGAAUAGGGGAGCCGAAGGGAAACCGAGUCUUAACUGGGCGUUAAGUUGCAGGGUAUAGACCCGAAACCCGGUGAUCUAGCCAUGGGCAGGUUGAAGGUUGGGUAACACUAACUGGAGGACCGAACCGACUAAUGUUGAAAAAUUAGCGGAUGACUUGUGGCUGGGGGUGAAAGGCCAAUCAAACCGGGAGAUAGCUGGUUCUCCCCGAAAGCUAUUUAGGUAGCGCCUCGUGAAUUCAUCUCCGGGGGUAGAGCACUGUUUCGGCAAGGGGGUCAUCCCGACUUACCAACCCGAUGCAAACUGCGAAUACCGGAGAAUGUUAUCACGGGAGACACACGGCGGGUGCUAACGUCCGUCGUGAAGAGGGAAACAACCCAGACCGCCAGCUAAGGUCCCAAAGUCAUGGUUAAGUGGGAAACGAUGUGGGAAGGCCCAGACAGCCAGGAUGUUGGCUUAGAAGCAGCCAUCAUUUAAAGAAAGCGUAAUAGCUCACUGGUCGAGUCGGCCUGCGCGGAAGAUGUAACGGGGCUAAACCAUGCACCGAAGCUGCGGCAGCGACACUAUGUGUUGUUGGGUAGGGGAGCGUUCUGUAAGCCUGUGAAGGUGUACUGUGAGGUAUGCUGGAGGUAUCAGAAGUGCGAAUGCUGACAUAAGUAACGAUAAAGCGGGUGAAAAGCCCGCUCGCCGGAAGACCAAGGGUUCCUGUCCAACGUUAAUCGGGGCAGGGUGAGUCGACCCCUAAGGCGAGGCCGAAAGGCGUAGUCGAUGGGAAACAGGUUAAUAUUCCUGUACUUGGUGUUACUGCGAAGGGGGGACGGAGAAGGCUAUGUUGGCCGGGCGACGGUUGUCCCGGUUUAAGCGUGUAGGCUGGUUUUCCAGGCAAAUCCGGAAAAUCAAGGCUGAGGCGUGAUGACGAGGCACUACGGUGCUGAAGCAACAAAUGCCCUGCUUCCAGGAAAAGCCUCUAAGCAUCAGGUAACAUCAAAUCGUACCCCAAACCGACACAGGUGGUCAGGUAGAGAAUACCAAGGCGCUUGAGAGAACUCGGGUGAAGGAACUAGGCAAAAUGGUGCCGUAACUUCGGGAGAAGGCACGCUGAUAUGUAGGUGAAGUCCCUCGCGGAUGGAGCUGAAAUCAGUCGAAGAUACCAGCUGGCUGCAACUGUUUAUUAAAAACACAGCACUGUGCAAACACGAAAGUGGACGUAUACGGUGUGACGCCUGCCCGGUGCCGGAAGGUUAAUUGAUGGGGUUAGCGGUAACGCGAA